rnacentral:rRNA from 1 species
AAGACCUUGCACUUUUGGAGCGGCCGAUGUCUGAUUAGCUAGUUGGUGGGGUAAUGGCCUACCAAGGCUUCGAUCAGUAGCUGGUCUGAGAGGACGGCCAGCCACACUGGGACUGAGACACGGCCCAGACUCCUACGGGAGGCAGCAGUGGGGAAUUUUGGACAAUGGGCGCAAGCCUGAUCCAGCCAUGCCGCGUGAGUGAAGAAGGCCUUCGGGUUGUAAAGCUCUUUCAGCCGGGAAGAAAAGGUUGCGAUUAAUAAUCGCAAUUUAUGACGGUACCGGAAGAAGAAGCACCGGCUAACUACGUGCCAGCAGCCGCGGUAAUACGUAGGGUGCGAGCGUUAAUCGGAAUUACUGGGCGCAAAGGGUGUGCAGGCGGUUUUGUAAGUCAGAUGUGAAAUCCCCGGGCUUAACCUGGGAACU